GAGAAUAGUGCAUUGGCACCCAAAUGGUUUAUCAAAUAAGUUGGUUUAUCAGUGCAGAUACUUGAGGAUUUUUAUUUCCCAUGCACUGUUUUAUGGAGGACUUGUAAAAAACAGCAUACAAUUGCAGGAAUGGAUGAUGGGUUAACUGUCAGGCUUUUCAAAGUCCGCAGCAGGGAAGUGUAGUACAUAUCAUGCAUUGUUGAUACCUGUCACGGAUGUCAUAAAAAGUUUUGGCUCCCAAUGUCCUUUCAUCAACCCACACAUGUCAUGGAAGCCACUAGUGACCAUCUAACUGUGCUGAAAAUGAAGUCUCUGCCUAGGUUCUGCGCAAAAUUUUAUCGAAAUUGGUCAAUGAGGGCAGCAGACAAAUCUUGGCUGAAAUUUGACGUCAAAGGAUGGAUUCGACUUUCCCGACCAGAAAGCGUAGCUCCAGCAAGGAAGUUGAUCAGUACAACAUCACAUUACGGACAUUAGGAAGACGGUCCAGUUUUAGAGGCAGGAGGAAACCGGAGUACCUGGAGAAAACCUGCGAGCGCAAGUAUGGACACAAACACUGACUUCCAUUUAUAUGGACAGCCAGAGUUGUCAAACAGAUCACUCGUGCAUGACAGCAGCUUUUGCCUCAAAAUGCACAUUUGUUCCAUCAGUUUGAGUAUUUUUAAUUUAGUGUUCAAAAGAUGCAUAUGUUUUGUAGUGUUUGAAUGUCUACUUGAGAUUUUUGAACACUCUAAUUGUUCUUUUGUUUUGUACUGACGGCCUGCGAUAGUUUGCCAUUUGCCACUGUGACAUUAGCAAUAGGAAAAACUGCACUUAUCAAAUAAGUGAGUAAUGCCUUUAUAGUUCUAGUGAAUUUUGCUUUGUUCUUUUCUCUGUAAAAUCCUACCAAGUACAUAGACAGAUCACUUAGGUGCAUGCCUAAUAAACCAGUGUGGGGGGGUUGGCAGCGAAUAUAUUUGCUGCCCUCAGUUGACUGGUCUAAAGCUACAGCAGUCAUGAUCAAAUUUUCAUACCUUGUAUAAAGAAUGAAAUUCCUUUAGGCAGCAACCUCUUCCCAGGGUAUUGAGCAUGUCGCCCCACAGCAACAUGUACCUGCUCUCUUACGCAGCAAUAUCUGGUCAUUUGUAUACAUGUACAGAAUUUUGCUAAUGAGGAAUAGUCUGGUGCUUGAUAAACGCACUUUGUAUUAGCGUUUUUGGUCUGGCAUGAAAAAGGGUUGAUUCUGUUUUUUCUGUGCGGCAAGCAGUGCCGAGUCAUGCAAAUUAUAUUUUGUUAUUGGUUCCAUCCAAAUAAGGUAACAAUUCCAUCUGUUCUUCUUAUUGAUUUGAAGGGGAGAGGUAUCACUAAAUGGUAUCUCAAGAUUUUGAUUGAUUUCAUCCUGGGAUUUUGGAUGUUUUUCUUUAUAUUUUAUCAAACAAUCCAAGAGUGUACAUGUAUAAAAUGGAAUACCUUUAGUUUGGUGCACUGAUACUUUUCUACUCUUUCCUUAGUUUUCAAUUUUGUUAACCCUCCUGUAACAUUAAACUUUCUGAAAAGCUGAAAAGAAAUUAAAGCUUUCCGAAAAGGAGUGUGCCACCAAAAUGUUACUAAAUAUUUUCAGGAAAGGUGCUCAGGAAAAGAAUAUACAUCUUGUUAUCAAUACUUGACUGAUUAAUUAGCAAUGUAAGUUAUAUUAUAUAUACCCAUAAGAUGCAUUUUUAUCGCAAAAUGCUUUCUCCCAUUCAUUACAGUAAACUUGUGCAAAAUGUAACAGUCACUAUAAACAAUAAUUUGAGGGAAAUUUUUUCUAUUGAAUAUGCAAUAUUGUGUCGACUCUUGCACAUUUGACCAAGACAUGUUCGUUUUGUUUCUAAAUUUUUGUUUGAUCAGCCCUUCUUUGAAGGUCUUGAUACUUUAUUAAUGCCCUAUUGCAGUGUUAUUUCUGUAAUAAAACUCAAAUGUGCUUUGUUCAGUGGAUUAUUCACUGUGCUUCAUUACUGAACACCUGUGUCAUUUUCUUCACAGUAUGCAAACCAAAGUCUCACAAUUUAAGCAUCUAGAACUUGAGUGGCGGAGGAAAUUUAUUUAGGGAAAUUGUACAUGUAUUACUCAGAAACCAUACAGCUAAAUUGAAUGUAGAGCAUCCAUGUGCAGUAGCUGUGUAAGGCUUGCCUGUCUUAUUGUCUUUAGAUGGCCUUGGUAACUGUGUAGACCAUAACCUAUAAACACAAGUUUCUUUUGUGAUCAGUGACCUUAUUUAUAGCUAACCUCACUGUGAAGUUCUGUUGUAGCUACUGGUAGUUAUGGAAGGCUAAAUUGUUUGACCUAACUGACGUGCAUCUGUAGGACGUGAACGUCAUAUUUGACCACACAAAGGUGUUUCUUUUUCUUUUUUCUUUUUGCUUAUCGUAUCUAGAUUUCUUUUCCUCGAAAAGUAUAUUGUGUUGUUGGGGAAUUAAAAUACUUAAGUGUUCAUUUACGUACUGAAUUGGAUUUGUUCAGUUCUGUCUAAUGUGUCAUUAAUUCUUAAAUUAUCAGAUUUCAUACAUCUGCAAAUAGUCAGGAAGCAGCUAAGAAACAAAUACAGAAUAGUGGUGCAUUGAGUGUCGUCAAUUUUUAAUAUUUUGGGGGUUCAUCCUCCAAAUUUUGUGUGAUUGAAAAAUAGAGUUCUCAGGUGGUCUAUGAGAAGGACUUAUUUGUAGAGAUUGUUUCAUUAAGGCCCGACUAAAAAUGGCCUAUUCAAACCAAUUGAUUUUUGAAUUGGAUUUAAUUGGAAUGAAAGAGGUCAAAUUGACAAUCAAUUGGUGCUCAGUUCGUUUCAGUUGGUAUGCU